GUUAGGAAUAUUGGACAAUGGGCGCAAGCCUGAUCCAGCCAUGCCGCGUGAGUGAUGAAGGCCUUCGGGUUGUAAAGCUCUUUAGCCGAUGAUUAUAAUGACUGUAGUCGGAAAAUAAGCCCCGGCUAACUUCGUGCCAGCAGCCGCGGUAAUACGAAGGGGGCGAGCGUUAUUCGGAAUCACUGGGCGUAAAGCGUGCGUAGGCGGCUUUGCAAGUUGGGAGUGAAAGCCCAGGGCUCAACCCUGGAAUUGCUCUCAAAACUGGAAGGGUCGAAUUCGGGAGAGGAUAGCGGAAUUGUCAGUGUAGCAGUGAAAUGCGUAGAUAUUGACAGAAACACCAGUGGCGUAAGCGGCUAUCUGGACCGAUUUUGACGCUGAGGCACGAAAGCGUGGGGAUCAAACAGGAUUAGAUACCCCAGUAGUCC
rnacentral:rRNA from 1 species